rnacentral:ncRNA from 2 species
UACGGAGUAGGAAAUAAGGCGUCAAGUGCCGGUGGAACGCAAUGUGAACACCGGACGAAGGGAAUGUGUCCCGCGAUCUUAUUUCCGCAUUGACCGCA